GUGCACAUUUCAUUGUCUUUUUUCUUUAUGUCGAGAGAAAAGAUAUUUCUGAUGUGCUAAACAAACCUUUGGAGAUAAAUUAGCAGCAUGACUAAUUUAGCCGUUGCUGUCAGUCACCUUCAGACAAAC
rnacentral:snoRNA from 1 species